rnacentral:rRNA from 1 species
AAUGGGCGCAAGCCUGAUCCAGCCAUGCCGCGUGGAUGAAGAAGGCCCUAGGGUUGUAAAAUCCUUUCGCUAGGGAAGAUAAUGACGGUACCUAGUAAAGAAGCCCCGGCUAAUUUCGUGCCAGCAGCCGCGGUAAUACGAAAGGGGCUAGCGUUGUUCGGAAUUACUGGGCGUAAAGCGCACGUAGGCGGCCUGCUAAGUUAGAGGUGAAAUCCCGGAGCUCAACUUCGGAACUGCCUUUAAAACUAGUAAGCUAGAGGAUGCGAGAGGAGAGUGGAAUUCCGAGUGUAGAGGUGAAUUCGUAGAUAUUCGGAAGAACAUCUGCGGCGAGGCGACUCUCUGGCACAUUUCUGACGCUGAGGUGCGAAAGCGUGGGGAGCAAACAGGAUU